rnacentral:tRNA from 1 species
AGCCGACUUGGUCAGUCAGUAGAGCAUGAGACUCUUAUUCUCAGGGCCGUGGGUUCGAGCCCCACGUUGGGUG